UGCAGAUGUAACCCACAUAAAGUGGGUAUGCCACUUUAAGAGAAGAGGUUAAGGAAGCUGGGUGGUCUGCCUGGCCAAUGAGAAGUUUAGUUUCCAGAGCGUCUGGACCAAUCAGGGUGCAGGCUGCCGUUGUGGAUCCCGCCCUUCUCCCCCGGGUCUGCAGUACCGUUGGUUUUGCUCUAGAGAUCCGACGCGGUGAGACUGCUGAGCGGGGCAGCGCCAGAAGCCGUUAGGAAUCGUUGGCUCUUUCUGGCAGUUAUUUCAGCUUGUUCUUCGUAGAUAAAAGUGCCCCACGCAUCCGGAUUGAGACCCACUAUACGGUUGUCUGAAGUGUGUCGCACUGAGAUCGGUCAGGUUUUUUUUUAUACUGGAUCAUUCCUGAAGUGGAUCCCUCCUUUGAUAUUGAUGGCGAGCCUUCCCACCUGGACCUAAAGAGAGAACCAGAUUUCGUCUAUCCCAUUUGGAGUCAUGCUGCACCCUGCGGUGUGGUAGGAGAGCAACAUACAUCUUCACACACGGUUGUGUGUGAGACCUACAACUGACAUUCUCCAUUAUUAUUGUUUUUUUUAUUUAUUGAUUUUUGGACAAUACUGUUUGGAUUGUUUUAUUUCGGACAUUGUGACGCACAGCUGUGGUGGAAAUUCUCCUGUGAAUGAAGUUGAAUCAAACCAAAUUGGGAUUAAUUUGAUUAAUCUGCUGACUAAUACAAUUUGGAGUGCAGAUUACCAGGGUGCACCCGAAUUAUUUGAAAUUAAGAAUUAGCACUUGGCCAAGUAUUAUUGUUAUUUCUUUUUUUUUAUUUUAUUGUGUGUAAUUUUAUUUUCAUAAUUGUGUGUUUUGUGCAACUGUUAAUUGUGUGUUUUCUGUCACUAAAACCAGUUCUUUAAAUACACCCAACUGCCCUUGUGUGUCAUUUAAACACUCCACUGUGCUCCGAUAGCCGAACCUAUUGGCCCAUUUAUCCAAAAUAUAUGUAAUACCCUUCUCUACUGUGUUACAGAGGAAGCUUUGGCGAGCCAGCACAGGAACAUGAGUGUGUGUGUUUAAGUGUCAGACAUCUUACACAUAUUGUUAGAACGUGCCAAGUACUUCUCUUUAAAAAUAAAAAAACAAAUA